GACCAACCUCGUGCGGGUGGAGUUGUUCUUACGUGAGUUUGUUGUGUUGACUUCAUUAUAUGUCUUGUUCUUCCAUGCAUUCCAGGCUGGAGGAAGGACGCCUUGCGAGGGGAAAGGGCCCGUAUCACCCUUCCUGGAGCGAGUUGGCAGGUUCACCGAGUCUGUCAAAGAGUUGUCGCGACAGGAUGGCCCCGGCGCCUCGUUCUGUUGCUACGAAGGGCGUGUGUCACUCUCCUGAUGAAAUCUUAUUGCUUUUCCAACUCGCAACCAAUUUUUUCAUUCCUCUUUUUCUUCUAAGUUUAUCAAGAAUGCCGGAAGGAGUGCUAGGAGUGGGGGAGAAUGCUUCCUGCUUUCGUACCCCUUUGUGCUAUACGUGUGAGGAUCAGUAGCACUGAAUAGUCUACUCAAUAAGCCACCAAGACAUCUAUGGCAUUAAUCUCCCACGCCACUAUUACUCUUUGCACUCUGUGAAAGGAUGAAGGAGGACAUUGUACGUGUUUAUCAUUUGCUGCUACAAGGACUCUUGCUUGGCUUGCCCACAGGUGCAUUAUAAGAAUACAGGUGCAUGGCUUGUAUGAGGAGAGGUCUGUUUAUGGAUGACUCGCCUCGCUAUUGAUAUAUGAAUUAAAGAUAGAGGUGUAGCCCGACACACUUGUCCCCUUAGGUUUUAUUGAUUAGGGUUGCACCUCCUUGCCAUAAGACGGAAAGCAAUGGCGUGUGACAGGUCUGCGCACCCUCUGCUUCAUUCGUCCCAAAGGAUAUUUUCCUCCUAUGGAAUAACGUGUGUAAUACUCGUACAUCCAAGAGAUUGGCAAAUUACACUAUUUCUUUUGCCAAAACAACGUACGUAGAAGUGUAAAUAAUGUUAUAAUGUGUUUUCAAUAACUAUGAUGAGUAGAAUAUGAAUAUGUACUUCCAAGUUAACCAGCAUAUGGCGAUGAGUGUGGAGAGCAACGUGCGGUAUCUUGUAGGGUUGUCAGUUCCUGUCACCAAGUUGAGUAUUGACGGAACUUAAUCGUAGACAACUUGUGCGAUAGAAGUGAAAUUCGGAACGGGAAUACGUAAUGACUGCUGUAUGUUAAAUUUUCUAGUAUAUGCGCACUGCCAUUACCAAAACCGAUAUGUUACCAGUGCGAUGUGAAGCAGGAUAAAAUUUGCCUGCACUCUGCAUUGAUCAUCACUCUAAAUGCUGUACAAAAUAUUAAUGCAUAGGAAUUUUUGUCAUGGACUCAAUCAUUCAUGUCUGUUGUUGUAUGUUUUGUUUAUUUAUUUACUUUUUCAGGCUUUUUGUAAUAAGUAUUCACGUUCAAUAAGAGAAGUUUCUGUUUAUAUGAGUAAGUGUGGGUCUUUAAGCAAUAAAAUGUUAUGGUAA